ensembl:snRNA U2 U2 spliceosomal RNA
CUCACUUCUUGACCUUUUGGAUAAGAUCAAGUAUAGUAUCUAAUCUUAUCAGUUUAAUAUCUGGAGCCCCUGAUGGCACAAUGGGUUAAACCCUU